GGGGCUGUACCGGUUUCGACGGGGGCAGUGAGGCCGGAACAGCGGGCGGAGGUGCCUGACCUCCUUAAACCGGGCAACCUUUUAUAAAUUAACUGACAACGAUAAUCUCGUUCUGGCUGCUGCUUAAUCAGCGGCCCAUCCGCCCCGGAAGGACCACGAGCCGGGCUCGGGUGUGAUUUAGUGGUGACCGUGCGUGCGGUAAGCUUUGCCCGCACCAUGCAUCAUGAAGCUACCAAGGCCGUAAGGGUGUUUGUUCCCGUGCAGCCGAGGGAAUGUAAAUAACAAACUGCGCCCGGAGAAGUUCCUGUCAAGUUGCUUUCGGACAGGGGUUCGACUCCCCUCAGCUCCACCA
rnacentral:tmRNA from 1 species